rnacentral:rRNA from 1 species
GACGGAGGAUGCAAGCGUUAUCCGGAAUGAUUGGGCGUAAAGCGUUUGUAGGUGGUUUCUUAAGUCUCCUGUUAAAUAUCAGGGCUUCACCCUGGGCAGGCAGUGGAAACUAAGAAGCUUGAGUACGGUAGAGGCAGAGGGAAUUCCCGGUGUAGUGGUGAAAUGCGUAGAUAUCGGGAAGAACACCAAAGGCGAAAGCACUCUGCUGGGCCGAUACUGACACUGAGAGACGAAAGCUAGGGGAGCGAAUGGG